CGUGCCGCCGCCGGCGGGUGGAAGUCGGGGCCGAGGGCCUCUGUCCUCGAGGGCUCGAGGCCUCCGGUGACCUGAGGGCUCGAGGCCUCCGGUGACCUGAGGGCUCGAGGCCUCCGGUGACCUGAGGGCUCGAGGCCUCCGGUGACCUGAGGGCUCGAGGCCUCCGGUGACCUGGCCCGAACCUGCCGGGCAUUUCCCGCCCUCCGCGAAAAAGAUCACCUGGAAUGAGCGAGGAAGGGAAGGCGCACUGUUGUGUUUCUUCAGCUUGUUCAGAAAGCUUGAGAAACACAGGUCCACAGCCAGGCAGGUGGUUUCCUUAGCCCUGGGCGCAUUGCAGGAGGAGCGCCCUUCUCCCAUUCUCCAGUGUGGAAUGUGGAUUUUUCUUGCACAACUCCUACAUUUUGAAGGGGAAAAUUAUGAAGAGAUCCAAGAACAUUUCUGCUUAAGAAAAUCCACUUCGCUCUGAGGCCCAGAACCCAGGAGGAGUGUGAGAAGGGUCGAGAUGAUCUGGGGCGAGUCUGGAUGAGGCCCUUCGAAGCUCACCUGGAGGUGUGAUGGAUGGGAACUCAUCACAGAUCUUUUCAGGGAAGGGGUUCCAAGAGAAAACAAAGCAGCCAUGCUGGGGACCUCCUUCUCCAGUCCUGCUCCUCCCUGCACGAGGGUCUUAGCACACACCGCCCCUUCCUCUGACCCCUGUUCACCCUGCCCACUCCCUCUCAUUCUUCAGGUCUAGCUCACGAGGCAUAACUCCCUCAGAGAACCUCCCAUGGCCCUCCAUUAGUUUCUUCUUUUUUUUUAAUGUGGUUAAAGUCACAUAAUAGAAAACACAUGUAACCAUAUUUAUGUGUAUAGUACAGAGGUACUAAGCACAUUCGCACUGUCGUGCAGCCCUCACCAUCAUCCAUCUCCCGUAUUUUUCACCUUCCUAACUCUGUCACCAUUAAAUACUAAGUCCCCAUUCCGCCUCCCCACCCCCUAGCCCCUGGCCUCUAUGUAUGGACCUUCUGCCUCUGUGAAUUUGACUAUUCUAAGUAUCUCGUAUAAGUGGAAUCAAACAGCAUUUGUCUGCAUCUACUGUAUACUGGAAUGCAUUUU